GGUAGUGGCUCAGUGGUAGAAUGCUCGUCUUGCAUGUGUGAGGCCCUGAGUUCAAUUCUCAGCACCA
rnacentral:tRNA from 1 species